AACUGCUCGCGCGUCUUGGCGUAGUCGAGGGCCACCUCGUAGGCGGCGCGCGCGAUGCCGAUCGCCUGGGCGCCGACG
rnacentral:ncRNA from 17 species